UGAGGAAUUUUCCGCAAUGGGCGAAAGCCUGACGGAGCAAUACCGCGUGAGGGAUGAAGGAUUUUGGUCUGUAAACCUCUUUUCUCAAGAAAGAAGUUCUGACGGUACUUGAGGAAUAAGCAUCGGCUAACUCCGUGCCAGCAGCCGCGGUAAUACGGGGGAUGCAAGCGUUAUCCGGAAUCAUUGGGCGUAAAGCGCCUGUAGGUUGUCUAAUAAGUCUGUUGUUAAAGACUAGGGCUUAACCCUGGGAAAGCGAUGGAAACUACUAGGCUUGAGUAUGGUAGGGGUAGAGGGAAUUUCUAGUGUAGCGGUGAAAUGCGUAGAUAUUAGAAAGAACACCGGUGGCGAAAGCGCUCUACUGGGCCAUUACUGACACUGAGAGGCGAAAGCUAGGGGAGCAAAAGGGAUUAGAUACCCCCGUAGUCC
rnacentral:rRNA from 1 species